CCACUAUUUCCAAUUUUUAAGAGACUCGUUUAUUUCACAUAAAUAUCUGAAGGAAAAAAAUGCAUAAGUAAUAUAAUUAUCUUCCUUCAUUCUCAUCAGAAGAGAGAGCAGCAUGUUAUUGUAAGAGUCCAGCUUUAAUGAUCAGACUUGAGUUCCAGUCCUUGAUCCACUCUCUGGGUGAUCUUGGCUAAUACUUUACUCUCUCUGAGCCUUCAUGUCUUCAUUUUUAAUGAAAUGGUAAAUAGUUUCUCCACCCUAAGUGAUAGCUUAAAAUUAGCUUUAAAAAUAUUAAAAACAUGGGACAUCCAGAGCAUGUAGUGUCUCUUUUUCUCUCCUUCUCCUGAAGUCUUUGGUUUCAUAUUCUUUAAAAAAAAAAAAAAGAAGAAGAAGUCCUGAACUAAAUGGAUUCAAAUGUGUGCUGUCCUUGUUUCCAGUGCCUUAGCCAAACUGAAGGAUGAUUCCAUCGUUAAUGAAAACAGGUCAUUAUAAGCAGCAUGGCCCAUUCAUCCACUAGGCAAUCUAUCAGAAUGAUCAGUAUGACUGAUCACUCCACUUAUUUUAUGGGAAGACUUCCUUGCUGCUAAAGAACCCCAGGACCCUCAUCAUGAUAAGAUUCUGAACACUGGAAGGAUUCCACAUGCCAUAUUAAAAUACAUGUGGCUCAACAAUUUAUAAGCGAUGAAAGUCCUGGAAAUGGAGGAAGCAGAAAAGACAUCACUCUCACCCUUAAGGUACAGAGAAGAACCGUGGAUGGUGAGAGAAGCACAAGCCAAAUCUGGGUACCAGCUGAAACUAGGCUUCUCCAGCUUUGUGAAUUUGGACAAGUCCCUCAACUUUUGUGAAACUGAGUUUUCCCUUGGGAAAGUGGGG
rnacentral:lncRNA from 1 species